GAUGAACGCUGGCGGCGUGCCUAAUACAUGCAAGUCGAGCGAACGGACGAGAAGCCUGCUUCUCUGAUGUUAGCGGCGGACGGGUGAGUAACACGUGGAUAACCUACCUAUAAGACUGGGAUAACUUCGGGAAACCGGAGCUAAUACCGGAUGAUAUUUUGAACCGCAUGGUUCAAAAGUGAAAGACGGUCUUGCUGUCACUUAUAGAUGGAUCCGCGCUGUAUUAGCUAGUUGGUAAGGUAACGGCUUACCAAGGCAACGAUGCAUAGCCGACCUGAGAGGGUGAUCGGCCACACUGGAACUGAGACACGGUCCAGACUCCUACGGGAGGCAGCAGUAGGGAAUCUUCCGCAAUGGGCGAAAGCCUGACGGAGCAACGCCGCGUGAGUGAUGAAGGUCUUCGGAUCGUAAAACUCUGUUAUUAGGGAAGAACAUAUGUGUAAGUAACUGUGCACAUCUUGACGGUACCUAAUCAGAAAGCCACGGCUAACUACGUG
rnacentral:rRNA from 1 species